ensembl:snoRNA
GAGCAUGUUCCCAAGGUCUGUGGCUAGUGGGGCUAUCUAAUCUCCAACGGCAGGCAAGAGCAACUUGGGGAGACGGUGACAGCUCAGGUCAGCUAAGUCUGCAGCUGCCACUUGCCUUUCCUAUAACA